rnacentral:rRNA from 1 species
AUGCAGUCGUACGGUGGUAGGCAUUCGCUUGCUUCUUAGCGGAGACUGGCGGAUGCUGAUUAAUGUCUGGCACUGUGCCUGGUGGAGGGGGAUGACUACUGGGUACAGUACCUAAUACCGAAUAACGUCGCAAGACCAAAGAGGGGGACCUUCCGGCCUCUUGCCAUCAGAUGUGCCCAGAUGGGAUUGUCUAGUAGGUGGGGUAACGGCUCACCUACGACAGGAUCCCUACCUGGUCUGACAGGAUGACCCGCCGCACUGGAACUGAGACACAGACCCCACUCCUACGGAAGGCAGCGGUGUGUAAUAUUGCGCAAUGGGCGCAGACCUGAUGCCGCCAUGCCACGUGUAAGAACAAUGCCUUCGGGUUGUACUUUACUUUCGGCGGAGAGGAAGGGAAUAAAGUUUGUACCUUUGCUCAUUGCCGUUUCCCUGACAACAACCACCGGAUAACUCCGUGCCCGCGCCCUCGCCAAUAUUGAUGGUGCAAGCGUUAUUCAAAGUUGCUGGGCGUAACGCGCGCGCAAGCCGUUUGUUUAGUCCCAUGUCAGAUCCCCAGGCUCGACCUGUAAACUGCAUCUGAUACUGUCAAACUUGAUUCUGUUACAGGGAGGUGCAAUUACAUGUGUAGGAAUGAAAUGGGUAAAGAUCUAUAUGAGUACCGAUGGUGAAGCUGACCACCUGAACCAAGACUGACGCUCAGGAGCAAAUGCGUGGGUAGCCCACGCCAUUAAAUACGCUGACAGUGUGUGCCCUACACGAUGUCUACUUGGAGGCUGUGCCCAUGAAUUGUGUGUUCCGGAUGUAACGUAUUGACUCGACCGCCUGGGUAGUACGGACUCAAGGUUGCGCCUCCAAUGAAUUGAGGGGGGGCCUCACU